GUGGGGUAAAGGCCUACCAAGGCAACGAUCUGUAGUUGGUCUGAGAGGACGACCAGCCACACUGGGACUGAGACACGGCCCAGACUCCUACGGGAGGCAGCAGUGGGGAAUUUUGGACAAUGGGCGCAAGCCUGAUCCAGCAAUGCCGCGUGCAGGAAGAAGGCCUUCGGGUUGUAAACUGCUUUUGUCAGGGAAGAAAUCUUCUGGGCUAAUACCCCGGGGGGAUGACGGUACCUGAAGAAUAAGCACCGGCUAACUACGUGCCAGCAGCCGCGGUAAUACGUAGGGUGCGAGCGUUAAUCGGAAUUACUGGGCGUAAAGCGUGCGCAGGCGGUUUUGCAAGACAGAGGUGAAAUCCCCGGGCUCAACCUGGGAACUGCCUUUGUGACUGCAAGGCUAGAGUACGGCAGAGGGAGAUGGAAUUCCGCGUGUA
rnacentral:rRNA from 1 species